AUGCUCAGUAAAUGGCUAUGCAGGCUAUCUGUAGAGGGGAAAGGUGUGUGGAUACAGUUAUUGCGUAACAAAUAUUUGCAAUCCAAGACCCUCGCACAAGCGAUCAUGGUACCGAAUGAUUCCCUCUUUUUGAAGGGGUUGACGAGGUCAAAGGUUGCCUUCUUCAAUAGGACCAAAUUCAUUGUAGGGAACGGUAAUACUAGUAGAUUUUGGGAAGAUACAUGGCUAGAGGACACCAGAAGGAAAUUCAUGGCACCUGAAGACAUCAAAGAUUAA
rnacentral:rRNA from 1 species